rnacentral:rRNA from 1 species
UACAGAGACCUCAAGCGUUAUCCGGAAUCAUUGGGCGUAAAGCGUACCGAUAGGUGGUCUUACAAGUCAGAAGUGAAAUCUUAAAGCUUAACUUUGAGACUGUCUUUUGAAACUGUAAGACUAGAGGGGCAAAGAGGAAGCUGGAACGAACGGUGUAGUAGUGAAAUGCGUUGAUAUCGUUCGGAACACCAAUAGCGUAGGCAAGCUUCUGGGUGCCACCUGACACUGCUAGGACGAAAGCGUGGGGGAGCGAAUGGG